CGUCUAUAUACGUAUAGCAUAUCAAUAAGCGGAGGAAAAGAAACUAACAAGGAUUCCCUUAGUAACGGCGAGUGAAGCGGGAAGAGCUCAAAUUUGAAAUCUUCAAGGUUCUACCUUGACGAAUUGUAGUUUAUAGAAGUGUUUUCUGUUAGUGGAGUGGCAAAAGUUCUUUGGAAUAGGACAUCAUAGAGGGUGAGAAUCCCGUAUUUGGUCAUUCCUCCUAGCGUUGUGAUACACUUUCAACGAGUCGGAUUGUUUGGGAAUGCAGUCCAAAAUGGGUGGUAAAUUUCAUCUAAAGCUAAAUAUUGGCGAGAGACCGAUAGCGAACAAGUACCGUGAGGGAAAGAUGAAAAGAACUUUGAAAAGAGAGUUAAACAGUACGUGAAACUGUCAAAAGGGAAGCGUUUGACACCAGUGUUGUUUUUCCGAAAAUCAAUUACGAAUGUUUUGUUUUUAGAGAGAGUUAUGACUUCAUCGGCUUGCUUCUUUCUUUACGAAACUUUCUUAAUGCACUUUUCGGUUAACAAGUCAACAUCAAUUUCUUUUGUUGUAAAAGGGGUAUGAGGAAGGUGGCUUUCUUUUCGGAGAAAGUGUUUAUAGCCUUGUGCCUCUGCAAUCGGAGAGAUUGAGGUCUGCAGCGUAGAUCCUUCGGGGUUAGAUACGUUUGUGCUAAGUUAUAGCUUUUCAUAGGCAACUUGUUGACUAUGUCUAGUCUUGUAGCUUACUCGCUGACGCUAUUUUACCUACGCUUAGGAUGUUGAAGAUAUGGCGCGACACG
rnacentral:rRNA from 1 species